GUGUUAUGUGUGACUAACCUGAAAGAGGCAUGGAGAUUGAAUAUUAUCUAUGCUGCCCACCAGUCAAGACUAAAUUUGGAGGGCAGGAGGGAACCAACAUAUCUUACAGCAUCAGGGCUGGAGAUGGAAGCAGCACACAAGGUAUUCAUCCUCCUGCAUGCACCCUUCCCAGUACCAGAAGGAGCUGGAAGUAGUCUGCUGGCUGCAAGUUUCCUAUCAUUCCUCCAUGACAAGGCAAGAUGAAUUUUGUGGAAAAGGACUGCCUAAUGGAGAUGUGCUGUAUAAUUUGGAUGAUGAAUUACUGGAAAGCCAGAGUAGUCUGUGUUGUGGUCUUUUUAUUGUUCAGUGCACUAAUGGAGUUAAGUUAUAUUUACAUUUUCUAAUUAUAUUGUGUUACACAAAAAAAUUAUACGUAAAUAUCCUCUUGCCAAACCAACCACUGAGCUCUAUUCCUCUCUUAGAGAGGGAAAAAAAAAAAAAAAAAAGAGAGAGA